rnacentral:rRNA from 1 species
GAUGAACGCUGGCGGCGUGCUUAACACAUGCAAGUCGAACGAUUAAAGCCCCUUCGGGGGUGUAUAGAGUGGCGAACGGGUGAGUAACACGUGGGCAAUCUGCCCCUCACUCCGGGAUAACUCAGGGAAACCUGAGCUAAUACCGGAUACUCCGGUCUGAUCGCAUGGUCGGACCGGGAAAGUUCCGGCGGUGAGGGAUGAGCCCGCGGCCCAUUAGCUUGUUGGUAGGGUAAUGGCCUACCAAGGCGACGAUGGGUAGCCGAGCUGAGAGGCUGAUCGGCCACACUGGGACUGAGACACGGCCCAGACUCCUACGGGAGGCAGCAGUGGGGAAUCUUGCGCAAUGGGCGAAAGCCUGACGCAGCAACGCCGCGUGCGGGAUGAAGGCCUUCGGGUUGUAAACCGCUUUCAGCAGGGAUGAAACUGACAGUACCUGCAGAAGAAGCCCCGGCUAACUACGUGCCAGCAGCCGCGGUAACAC